rnacentral:lncRNA from 1 species
UUUCUCUCUCAAAACCAUCUCUGUAUAUCACCCCCUUUCUCUCUCAAAACCCACCACCACAUGCCCUUCGCUGUAACCCAAAAACACAGUGUCGAUUUGUGACUGUAAUUAUCACCACCACCGUCGCCGUCACCACCACCACCUGACCUUAAGUUAGAGAGAGAGGCUGAAAGAGAAGGAUGGUUUCGGAAUCGCCGCCACGCCGGAAGAACGCUGUGGGGUAUCAAAGAAGACAAUGUAAUUUUCCGGAAUCGCCGCCACGUCGGAAGAACGCUGUUAUUGAAAUCCUUUGUCAUGGGUUCAUACCUAUUUAAUCAUUGUGUUUACUCGAAGAAUAUAAUUAAGAGGUUGAAGUUGCUGUUAAGUUUGUUGAAUCAGGUUUGAAUCCUCAGUUUAGUGAAGAAAUUUUGGUAGGUUGUCGGGUAGAGAGAGGGGCAUUCAAAUGCUUGGGUGCUCAAAACUUGCAGCAAAUGGAAUGAAAGAACAAGGUAGCAACUAGCAAUUGAUAUUCUAGAAACAAAAAUAUGUGGGGAAGGAUUGUAAUUAGAUCUGAUAGGAUGGAAAGUUUUUUGUUUUUUGUGUUUUUAAAGUUGUUUAUUUAUUUAUAAAUAUACUUUUAAAUACAAUGACCGAAAUGC